AGAGAGCGAGAUGGCUGCUGUGUCCGUUUGGAAACGCUCGGGCGGGCCCACAAGCACCAAGACCAACGGGGGGUGCGGGGCUGUCGGGAGAACAAGCCGGGGCGCAGGCGGGGCGGUGACAGUCGCACCCCGAGAUGCGGCCCGCGCCCCCCGGGACUCGCCGCUUAGUCCCCCGCCCGGCCGCGCCAGGACCGAGCCAUGUUGUUAGGGGACGGAGACGAGGCGGCCGUACCGGGGGGGCCUGCGGGGCUACUCACAGCGCGCGGGGGGGGGGGGCGAGGGGGGCUCGUGAAUCAGUGAGACUAAUCGGUUCCCUCGCCGGAGUUUUAUUCAAAUUCACGCGCUGUCAAUACAGAAAGCAAGAGAGUCACAUUUUUAGUUGCAAAGGCUUCCCCGUGUCUUUUAUUUUAAUGUAUAAAUGUGCCCUUCAAUAAAAACAGUGUAAAAUGAUCAUAGAACUAUUCAAAUAUUGGGAAGGAAAAAAAACAGGGCUCGUCCGGGAUUUGAACCCGGGACCUCUCGCACCCUAAGCGAGAAUCAUACCCCUAGACCAACGAGCCGCUAUAUCAGCUGCUUUCCAGCUACUGCAAAGGAAGCUAAUGUUGGUUCAGUUCUAGCCAGGUAGCUGUUUCUGAUUAGACAGCAGUUGUUUAGUUAGCUCUAUUCUGCCCCCUAUUUGGCUUCUUCCCCCAAGGAUCAUUCUUUACCCUUUCAUUUCUUAUUAGGUUUUUUUAAUUAGAGUCAAAUUAAUUAAUUAUACAAACAAUACUGCUAUUUGUAGUUGAGAUAAUAAUGUGCAUAUACCCGCAGAGACUCUUUCAUCAAGCCUGAGUGCCAGUGCGUGAUCCCUUUUCAUCCUUCACAUCUGCAGGAGCUGCCUUCUCCUUGGGUAAAAUUCACCACUGUACAGUGACCCAGUACAAGAUCUAUGGGCCAUCUGGGAGCUCAAAAUUACGAAGGAAUAAAAGCCCACAAGAAAACAGACUGUUAUACCAAUGUCAAGCAGAAAAGUCACCACUCCUUGUUUUAUGAUAGACAAAUAUUUAAUAAGUAUGGUCUCACCUUGCAAGCCCAGCCACACAAAUGGAUCCCUCCAACGGUGAGGAUCUGCACUGACUCCAGUGGGAUGCUGCAUGGACAUAGGUGUCUGCUUUUAUUCAAAGAUCUCUUGGGCACUAUAUACCUAUCUGCUUGUUAUAUUUACAAAGAACCAAUCACCAUAGCAUCCAGCUGCUGAAGUACAGUUAUAUUAGAGAGUCAGGACUCAGAACAAAAAUGGGCUCUACUCCUCCUGUCUUAUGAGAAAAUUAUCUUAGCAUUGUUAUUAUGGGUUGGCUUUGCAAAAGAUAAGGCUUUUUAGUGAGCUCUAAAGGUGGUCAGAUUAGGGUAUAUUCUGAUCUCAGUUUCACCUACAAUAGUCUAUUACUAUGAUCUCUGAGCCUUGGCUUAUGCUAGGGAAUGAUCUAAGGGAAGCACUAUGUUUUUCUACAAUGUAGGCUGCAGCUGCGCUCAUUUUCAUACAGAGGAUAUCUUAAUUGAACUGGAACACCAUUCUUGGACCUUUAGUUUCUCUGGAAAGGACCACUCCGAGGCAGUGAACUGGUGUACUGUAUGGUGGACCAUGCAAUAUAUGAACCAUAUUGCUUGGACUAAGACUGAGCAAUUCCAUGAUGGGACCUGUAGACUUCUCAGACAGCUUUGUUUGGAUCAAAAUAAACCUCUCCAGCGCAUCAUCAAGGAUCUACAACCUAUCCUGAAGGACGAUCCCCCACUCUCACAGACCUUGGGAGACAGGCCAGUCCUCGCUUCAGACAGCCCCCCAACCUGAAGCAAAUACUCACCAGCAACUACACACCACACAACAGAAACAGUAACCCAGGAACCAACCCCUGCAACAAACGCUGAAUGCUCCAUCCUGCUGCCCAUUUGAGCAAUCAUGGAAGCACAGAUCAAGAUGGGAUAUUGUACACUAGGACUUGUAGUUUCUGCAUAUGGACAUGAUGUGCACAAAACAAAACCACCAGCAUGCUCUGUGGGACAUUCUAAGAAGUUUGUUCCAGCACCUCCUCUUUUGACACUUCAGUCUUUUUGUAUAUAACAGCAGCCUAGUGCCUUGACUGCAGUAAUCUCCUAACCUAAAUCUUCCAUGAAACUACCCCCAAGUCUGCAAAAGAAGCAAUAUUUACUAUAAACCUGCUUCAAAACAUAGGCUGUGCAGGUCAACUAGGCAAAGACAAUGAUCUUUAGGAGAAAAAGCUAUGCCAACCAAAAUAAUUCAACUUUGUUGAAAGAAAUGGGAGAACACACUGAACUACCCAUACUCAAAUGUAUAGAGGAAAAUCAAACUAGGAAAUGGAAGCAUUAUAAGAAAAAGCCUCUGAAGGGCCAAAAUCCAAUUGCUGUGUUUGUAAAACCCUGAUUACAGACCCUGUCAGCAACUUUUUACAGAGACCCAAAGCUUGGUUUGAGCAGGGGGCCUAGCCCACUGAGAACAAUAUUAGCUAAAAGAAGCUGAACAAACAAGAGACAACCUUACUUUUUACUGAGAUAAGCAUGGUCAGCAAAACUCCAGCUGGGGAGCGGUAACUGGUGUCUUUAUCAGAAUCUAUAGACAUACCAAAGUAUUGAAAGUGGCCUCUAUGUCCACUCCUUCUGCAGGAAAAGAUAACCAAUACCCUCCCCACAUACCAACCUUGAGUUCAUUGAGAGGCUCAAGCAUGUCAGUAGGAGAUAUGACAUCCUCCCUUCUAAUUGGUGCACCCCCUCCCUCCCAGAUGCCAGGGGGAGCCUUUAGAAAUACAAUGGGACAACCUGAAAAACAAUUUCUAUUGCCAUGUACUUUUCAAUGUCUUUUUGCUUUAACCCUCAGGAAUAUACCUGUUGGACAACCAGAAGAGCUACCUCAUUCCUAUGGUCCCCAAAUCAGAAUUCAACAUAUGUAUUUUAUAAUUAUACACUUUAUACAUUGUUUAAUUGAAAACACCUGUGUACUAAUAGUAUGUUAUAUGUUAACCUGAAACCUUGGGUGGAGCCAUUAUGUAAUCUUUUAGACUACUGACUUACUGUGCUUAUCUUGUCUUGCUGCUAGACCUAUCCAGGGGCUCAGAACCUCCCACCCCAUCGCUUCCCUCCACCCAUGAAAAUCCUAUAUAAUCUAUUGUAAUCAAUUGCUUGGCCGUGUCUCUGAGCCUAAUAAGCAAAGUGACACUCGGCCAGCGCUGUGUGUAAUAAAUCCACGUGCUUGAUUCUA